UCGCCGUGCAGGCUGCAGACUACUAGAUCAAUGCCGUGGAAAGGGAAACAGAAAAUGUGCCUUUCGACGUGUGAAACUGUUGAAGUCUAUUAACACCAACACUGACUUUAAGCUUUCAACGUCUGAUCAAAUAGCCUACGUGGACUGUUUCGUAUACAUUCAUCAGUUCUUCAAAUACAACCGGGUUACAAUUAGGGUUCAGGCUAUAGAUUUUUACUUUUGGCCUGUGGCUGGUGUUGACUUUUGGAUUACAUAUAUCAUGUUUGGAUUAGGUUGUGCAAACAAAUGUAAUUCUUGCAUAUGGUGCUUUAUCCAUCUUUGCAUUUAAAUGGAUGACAUGGUGUGAACUUUAUGACCAGUGGACACCGGUGUUUGGUGUUUGAGGAAGAGGUCAAAGUCUGCUGUUUUGCCUUGUCUGUCACCCAUGGCCCAAACUAGUAGAUGAGUUCAGAACUGAAGUGACAGUAAAACAGAGAGGAGAACAUGCUGCUUUCUCGCUUUCAAGGGUGAAACGACAGAGCUCACUGUCAUGGAUAUCCUGUUUCUUUUGCUGUUCCUGUCACAGAGAACUAUGGGAGUCUGUCAAAACAUUACUGACGUUGCCUAUCUCUUCCUGCUGAAUCAUUCUCUAGCGAAGUAAAGUGCAAAACGCUGGCAUAUCUCGUAUUCUGAAAGAAUAUUUAUAGUGGAUGAGGCAUUUUCCCCAUAAUCCUAAAAUGUUGCCAUUGGGCAUGCCAUAGCACAAGGGCAAUCAAUUACUUCAGACAAGCGAUAUACCAGACGUGGAAUGUUAAGAGAUUCUUGCUCCCUUCUCCGCUAGGUACCAGCUCAAAUAUUUUGUGUAGGAGGAAACUAAAGUACCUGGUGGUGACUCUGUAGUCCUCAGCUGAGGUUAACAUUUUGGCAUUCAUCUAGCUAAGGUGUUGGAACAUCAGACAAUGUCCUGACCGCCCUAUUUGGCGCGUCUCCUCAAAGUUGCGAUUCAUCGGAGGAAAGCAGAGCCGCGCAGGAAGGAAGCGCAGAGCUCAGUGUGUGCAGAGGUCAGCAUCGAACUCGGCUUCACUCCACGGACGCUAUUUUCGAGCCUUGGCACAAGAUGGCCUGCUCCCACUGGGCCACCAGAUGAUCAAAGCCUUGUGUCGAAAGUGCCAAGAGCCACGGUCCCUGCCGCAUUGCCAGCAUUCCGCCGGUCGCAAUCUCUGUCACGCCACUGCGGCGUGCAUGCAAUUUAUGCCAGUGUCCAUUCUGACAAUGACGAUCCAGUGUGGUGACAGGGCCUGAUAUCUUUACACUGCUCACAAAAUAAGGACAUUUGAUAGUUGACAUUGAUCAUAUUUAUAGAUCUUGUUCACACUUUUUAAUGCAAAUUGUUAGUAUUUUUAUGCAUUCACUGACUCCUAAAGGAUGCACUUGCUCGAACACUGGCUCAUUUUAAUUAAUUGGUCAUUCCCAAAGUGACAGCUGGCUCCACUCUCAAUAGAGAUAUUCCCAUCCCAAUUCCCAAUAUGAGCAUAGUGGCACUUAAGUUCUUCUAAAAGCUUCAUUUGAUGGUGCAUUAAAGAAUCAAAUCACAUUUUGGGCUGUAAGAGUGCAGAUCUUUAAGCUGGUAUCAUGAUACAAUGGAUUUUUGCUAAUCUCCUGGAGGUAUUGAUCUGGAGGGUGAAAUAAACCUAUCCAGCUCCAGGUCCUCA
rnacentral:lncRNA from 1 species